rnacentral:lncRNA from 1 species
GGAACAGGAUGGUUCAGAAGUAGAUUUUGGAGUGGGGAGAGAGGAGGAAGAGGAGGAGUAUUGCUUCCCGAUCGAAGCAUGGUCUAAUGCCAUGAGAGAGUGUGAGGUUGAGAUGGAAGAUUCCGAUGAUAGCCGUUGUAGGAAAGAACACGAAGGAAAAAUAUGAAGAAAUGAUCAGAAAUAUUUUAAUACAGAAAGAAUUAGAGACGCUAUCAAGCUGCG